UACGGAGGGUGCAAGCGUUUAUCCGGAUUUACUGGGUUUAAAGGGAGCGUAGGUGGGUCGGUAAGUCAGUGGUGAAAUCUUCGAGCUUAACUCGGAAACUGCCAUUGAUACUAUCGAUCUUGAAUUAUCUGGAGGUAAGCGGAAUAUGUCAUGUAGCGGUGAAAUGCUUAGAUAUGACAUAGAACACCCAUGCGAAGGCAGCUUACUACGGAUAUAUUGACACUGAGGCUCGAAAGCGUGGGGAUCAAACAGG
rnacentral:rRNA from 1 species